CGGUAUUCCCCGCCUCCGCAUAACGGGCGGCUGUUCUGUCCAACGGAAGGCGGGCGGUACGCCGAGUGGGCGGGGAAAAAGGCGGAGCCUGUGGUGGGUCAAGCGGGGAGUGGUGGGCGGGACGAGAAGUGGGCGGGGCUUCACCGCCUCCCGUGCCCCCUUCCCUCCCCUCCCCCUCUUAUCAGUGGGCGCGGCGCUGCGCUGAAGCGCGCUCCGUUCCUGCGGCGUGGUCGGGCCCGCGCCUCGUUCAAGCCCCUCGCAGUCACCCAGUAUCGCACAGCCCGGCACCGGGACCAGAGCUUGGGCUUGUUGCCGCGCACUUCCAGUGCAGGAUGCAGACUGCCCUCCCACUCCAGCUCAGGACACUGCAAUUCCCCGUCUAUGCUGACAUCUCGACUCACUGCUCCAGCUUUCAAGGUGCUCCGUGACCGGGGAUGGGAUUCGAGCAUGAACUUGGCCACUUCUGAGUUAGGUCCAUGA
rnacentral:lncRNA from 1 species